AGAAUCAACGCUGGCGGCGUGCCUAACACAUGCAAGUCGGACGAGAAGCAUCCUAGUGGUGUUUUUAGUGGCGGACGGGUGAGUAACGCGUAAGAACCUACCCUUGAGUGGGGGAUAACCUAGGGAAACCUGGGCUAAAUACCGCAUAAUACCUUCGGGUCAAAGGAGCAAUUCGCUUAAGGAGGGGGUCGCGGCCGAUUAGUUAGUUGGCGGGGUAAUGGCCCACCAAGACUGUGAUCGGUAUCC
rnacentral:rRNA from 1 species